rnacentral:rRNA from 1 species
AGCGAACGUUAGCGGCAGGCUUAACACAUGCAAGUCGCACGAGAAUGGGGUUUCGGCCCCUAGUAAAGUGGCGGACGGGUGAGUAACACGUGGGUAAUGUACCCUUCGGCGGGGGAUAACAAUCCGAAAGGAUUGCUAAUACCGCAUAAGUCGACGAGGUCUGCGGAUCUUGUCGGGAAAGCUGGCCUCUUCAUGAAAGCUAGCACCGGAGGAUCAGCCCGCGGCCCAUCAUGCUAGUUGGCGGUGUAAAAGACCACCAAGGCGAAGACGGGUAGCUGGUCUGAGAGGAUGAUCAGCCACACUGGAACGGAGACACGGUCCAGACUCCUACGGGAGGCAGCAGUGGGGAAUAUUGGGCAAUGGGCGCAAGCCUGACCCAGCCAUGCCGCGUGAGUGAUGAAGGCCUUCGGGUCGUAAAGCUCUGUGGGGAGGGACGAAAAGACCUUGGCUAAUAUCCAAGGGAACUGACGGUACCUCCUUAGCAAGCACCGGCUAACUCCGUGCCAGCCGCCGCGGUAAUAC